AUUGAACGCUGGCGGCAUGCUUUACACAUGCAAGUCGAACGGUAACAGGGUGCUUGCACCACUGACGAGUGGCGAACGGGUGAGUAAUGCGUCGGAACGUGCCGAGUAGUGGGGGAUAACGCAGCGAAAGUUGUGCUAAUACCGCAUACGUACUGAGAUAGAAAGUGGGGGACCUUCGGGCCUCACGCUAUUCGAGCGGCCGACGUCUGAUUAGCUAGUAGGUGAGGUAAAGGCUCACCUAGGCGCCGAUCAGUAGCGGGUCUGAGAGGAUGAUCCGCCACACUGGGACUGAGACACGGCCCAGACUCCUACGGGAGGCAGCAGUGGGGAAUUUUGGACAAUGGGCGAAAGCCUGAUCCAGCCAUGCCGCGUGUCUGAAGAAGGCCUUCGGGUUGUAAAGGACUUUUGUCAGGGAGGAAAUCCCUAGUGCUAAUAACACUGGGGGAUGACAGUACCUGAAGAAUAAGCACCGGCUAACUACGUGCCAGCCGCCGCAGUAACAC
rnacentral:rRNA from 1 species